rnacentral:miRNA from 1 species
AACGGUGUGAAAUAGGACAUAUAA